AGCGAACGCUGGCGGCAGGCCUAACACAUGCAAGUCGAACGCCCCUUCGGGGGAGUGGCGGACGGGUGAGUAACGCGUGGGAAUGUGCCCUUUGGUACGGAACAAUUGAGGGAAACUUCAGCUAAUACCGUAUGUGCCCUACGGGGGAAAGAUUUAUCGCCAUUGGAGCAGCCCGCGUUGGAUUAGGUAGUUGGUGGGGUAAUGGCCCACCAAGCCGACGAUCCAUAGCUGGUCUGAGAGGAUGAUCAGCCACACUGGGACUGAGACACGGCCCAGACUCCUACGGGAGGCAGCAGUGGGGAAUCUUGCGCAAUGGGCGAAAGCCUGACGCAGCCAUGCCGCGUGAAUGAUGAAGGUCUUAGGAUUGUAAAAUUCUUUCACCGGGGAAGAUAAUGACGGUACCCGGAGAAGAAGCCCCGGCUAACUUCGUG
rnacentral:rRNA from 1 species